CACGUAGGGCGCAAGCGUUGUCCGGAAUUAUUGGGCGUAAAGAGCUCGUAGGCGGCUUGUCGCGUCGACUGUGAAAUCCCGCGGCUCAACUGCGGGUCUGCAGUCGAUACGGGCAGGCUAGAGUUCGGUAGGGGGAGACUGGAAUUCCUGGUGUAGCGGUGAAAUGCGCAGAUAUCAGGAGGAACACCGAUGGCGAAGGCAGGUCUCUGGGCCGAUACUGACGCUGAGGAGCGAAAGCGUGGGGAGCGAACAGG
rnacentral:rRNA from 1 species